rnacentral:rRNA from 1 species
AAAGGAGUGCUAAUACCGCAUGAUGCAGUUGAGUCGCAUGGCUCUGACUGCCAAAGAUUUAUCGCUCUGAGAUGGCCUCGCGUCUGAUUAGCUAGUAGGCGGGGUAACGGCCCACCUAGGCGACGAUCAGUAGCCGGACUGAGAGGUUGACCGGCCACAUUGGGACUGAGACACGGCCCAGACUCCUACGGGAGGCAGCAUG